UAUCCCCUGCGGUGUUCGUGCGGGCUGUACAUUCUUUGAACCAAUGUCAGCCCUUAGGUUGCGGCCCACAGUAGCGCUGGUGUGCGAGUCCCACUGCGGAAUUGCCUGAUGCGCUCGGAAAGCGACCACCCUUGAACCCCGGUUCAAGAUGCCAGCCUGGCGGCACUCGCGGGGGACCC
rnacentral:other from 1 species